rnacentral:misc_RNA from 1 species
GACAAUGGAAGGCCAGGUGCAGAGGUUAGUACUUUCUCUCUCUCUGUUUCUCUGCCCUGUUAUUUUGAUUGAUGCUGACUUAAUUUACUUGAGCCACUGUACCUAUCAUAGUGCUUGACAUGCAAGAUGCUGCUUUGAAUUGCCUACUGAGGUUAAGUUGCUCAAUACAGCAUGAUUUAGAGUAAUUGCUUGAACUCAAAGUAUGUUAAUACCAAGAAAAUUUUCUCCUUCCAGGGUACUUUUGUACUAUUUUCUUCUCUUGAUGUAUCCCUGUGUAGUAUCCUUUCUCCUUGCAAUAGAGAAAAAUAUAAAAAGAAAAAAGGUCAUCUCUUAUUUUGGCUUUUUUUAAAAUAAGAAAAUAAAUUUUAUUGAAGAAAAAAAAAGGAAAAAUUAGACAUGGAGAGUAAAUAAUCUUCCUAAAUCAUCUAAGAAACAACAGGGACAAAAGGAGACUUAAAAGAAGUAAAGCCUACAAUGUUGUCGAAUAAUAUGGAAGGAUAAUCCUCCAAAAGCCCAAGAACCCUCUUUCCUACAACAAAAGUCAUGAAAACAAUCUUACCCCACAAGAUAUUGAGAGGCAACUUAUAAAAAAUGUGGGCUUUCCUUUCCAUCCAAAUGCUAUGAAUGAAUGCAACAGAGGUAUAACUCCAAAGAAUUUUAGCUUUUUUCUGGCCACCAUUUUAAGCUGAAAAACAUCUCUAGAGAAUAAGGACAUGCCAUUCUCCUAAAAAAUACCAAAAAGACAGUUAUUAUUAUCGAAUCCACUUCACAACAUAAAAAGAAAUGAAAAGUAAACAAAUUGUGUGUUGUCUUAGCCUUAAAAAUUUUAUUAUCUGAAGGGAAUGAGUGAUAAUGAGGGGGGCAAAUAUAUAGGAACAAGACUUGGGUGGAAAAAACUUGAGGAUUCUAAAGACCUAUUUUUCUUAGGCAACAACUGAACGGCGCUCAACUAAAGAAGCACCAAAGAUAAUUCUGUCACCUUACUAUCAUUAAGGUUGUCAAUUCCAAAGAAGUGAAAGUUCUGGGAUGAUGUGUAAAUUAACAAGGAAAGAAUCAUGGAAAUUGUGAAACAGCUAAACAGGAGCAUUAUACAAAUAGGAAAAGAUGAAAGAACCAUCCCAAAUAUCUGCUUAGAAGCAAAUAAAUGUACGUUACCAAAUUUAUAUUCAAGAAUGAGAAAGGAAGAAAAGUAUACCUGAGAUAUCAAUUUCCAUGCAUUCUAGGAGGAGCAUUAAUUCCCCUUUUUGCAUCCCAUAUUCUGAUAUAAUUCAUAUAUACCCUUAAUAAACUUGUAGAAGAAAAUUCAUCUCUGAUGGGAACAGUCAGUUAUAACUAAAUCCCUACAGGGACAGUAUUUUUAGGCACUUAACUUCUAAGACCUAAUGCCCCCAUGUGACUAACUGAAAUCUGUCAUCUUCUCAAUUUCAUCUACCGCUUUUACUGGGGUCUUAAACAAGGACAAAUAGUAUGGGAGAAUGCUGGAUAAACAAGCUUAAAUCAGAGUGAUAUAUCCCCCUAAAGAGCUAAAGGCUCCCGUCUAAGUAUCUAACCUUUUUGAUUGGUGGAGCUACUAGAUCUCAGAUAAAAAAAGUUUUGACUGCAGUUACCACUUAAAAGAACAUCAAAUUAGGUCGGUGACCACUCCAACCUUGUACAAUCUACUGAUAAAGCCAAUCUUGGAAGCU